rnacentral:rRNA from 1 species
UACGAAGGGGGCUAGCGUUGUUCGGAUUUACUGGGCGUAAAGCGCACGUAGGCGGAUCGUUAAGUCGGGGGUGAAAUCCUGGAGCUCAACUCCAGAACUGCCUUCGAUACUGGCGAUCUUGAGUCCGGAAGAGGUGAGUGGAACUCCUAGUGUAGAGGUGGAAUUCGUAGAUAUUAGGAAGAACACCAGUGGCGAAGGCGGCUCACUGGUCCGGUACUGGCGCUGAGGUGCGAAAGCGUGGGGAGCAAACAGG